CUCCUACUGCCCUCUCAUGGGACCUCUCUCUUCUUGUGCAUGUGCAGUAUCAGGGUAUUACAAUAGGAGGGCCUGAUGUAGGACUAAGCUGGACUACAGUAUCUUUGCCCCAUGAUAUGUGCAAAUAGGAACUUUAGCUUUGUAAAGCUAGAAGUAGGUGAAGGAGCAUUUAUGAAAAAGGAAAGAAAAGAAAAAAAGUGCAUUCCCCCAUACUACCAGAGGAGGAAUCUGAGGAGUGGCCCGACACUCCUGCACUACCAUCAUCGCCUGCUCCAUCAUUUUCCGUGGUGACAUCGGGCUCAUCCUCCCCAACCAGUUCGCUGACCCAUUCACCGGGACCGGCGGACCCUGCUCGUCCCGUGCUACUCCAGAGAAUCCGCCAGUUGCUGUCGAUAGCAAAUAGAUUAUUUGAUCGAAUUUUGGAUAAUUUUUAAA